GCGGCCUGCGGAGGAGCCCGCGCCGGCACCGAUUCCCAGCUCCGCGCCACGCGGACCCACCGAGCUCGCGCUCAGACGCCCCAGCUCCGCCGAGAGGCCGCUCGCGCCGGGUCCUUCCUCUUCCCCAAGUGCAGGCCGAGCCUCCGCAGCCACGGCCAGCCCUUCGGGCAGCUCCAAAGCCACUGGCAAGCCCCGAGGCAGGGAUGGCCGGCCCAGGAGGGAGGAGGACGACGUCCCUCCCUAGGAGAAGAACUGCGGCUGUUGCUGGAGGGGGGAAGCGCACAGCCCGACGACUGCGAGGACGGGGAGGACGCGCUGAGGUCAGGCAGGGAGGAGACCGGCACCCAGACAGGUGGCGACGGCAGAGGAUGAUGUUUUGUUCUGGGGUGCAUCACAAGAG
rnacentral:lncRNA from 1 species